rnacentral:lncRNA from 1 species
UUCUGCGUGUGUUUCGUUCUCCUGUGGCCUUCUGUUUUUGCUCGUCUUCUCUGUAUUAUCUCUGUUCUUGCGUCCGUGUUUUUGUUUGUGGUCUUUGGUCCAGUGUUCUCUGUGUUUUAUCUGUGUCUCCUCUGUGUCCGGUCGUCUCUGUUUUUCCUGGGUUUUUUUCAUUCGUUCGUCCUCUCUGCGUUUGCUUGUUUUUCCCCUGCUUUUUUUUCCCCAGUUCGUCCCCAGUUCGUUCCUCCUGAUGUGUUCUGU